ACUCCUACGGGAGGCAGCAGUGGGGAAUAUUGCACAAUGGGCGCAAGCCUGAUGCAGCCAUGCCGCGUGUGUGAAGAAGGCCUUCGGGUUGUAAAGCACUUUCAGUCGUGAGGAAGGUAGUGUAGUUAAUAGCUGCAUUAUUUGUACGUUAGCGACAGAAGAAGCACCGGCUAACUCCGUGCCAGCAGCCGCGGUAAUACGGAGGGUGCGAGCGUUAAUCGGAAUUACUGGGCGUAAAGCGCAUGCAGGCGGCCUGUUAAGUCAGAUGUGAAAGCCCGGGGCUUAACCUCGGAAUUGCAUUUGAAACUGGCAGGCUAGAGUCUUGUAGAGGGGGUUAGGAAUUUCAGGUGUAGCGGUGAAAUGCGUAGAGAUCUGAAGGAAUACCGGUGGCGAAGGCGGCCCCUGGACAGAUACUGACACUCAGAUGCGAAAGCGUGGGAGCAAACAGGAUUAGAUACCCCUGGUAGCGACUGA
rnacentral:rRNA from 1 species